rfam:Parcubacteria (Falkowbacteria) bacterium GW2011_GWA2_41_14 TT43_C0002, whole genome shotgun sequence.
GCGCCGUUAGCUCAGCUGGCAGAGCAACAGCCUUUUAAGCUGAUGGUCGCUGGUUCGAAUCCAGCACGGCGCA